AUUUUAUUUCUAGUGAUUGGAAUGAUGGGAAUUUAAACCCCUUUCAGAGUAACAAUUGGAGGGCAAGUCUGGUGCCAGCAGCCGCGGUAAUUCCAGCUCCAAUAGCGUAUAUUAAAGUUGUUGCAGUUAAAAAGCUCGUAGUUGGAUGUCUGCUGGAAGCAAUCAGUCCGCCCUAUUUGUAGGGUGUGCACUUGAUGAAUUCUGGCAUCUAUGUCCCAAUGAUAUUAUGACGCGGUGUUGUAUAGGUCUAUCCUAUAUAUUAUACCCGUUUAUAAUAUUGGGAUCAUACCGUUACUUUGAGAAAAUUAGAGUGUUUGAAGCAGGCUAAUUGCCUUGAAUACUGCAGCAUGGAAUAACAAUAUAGGAUUUCGGUUCUAUUUUGUUGGUUUCUAGGACUGAAAUAAUGAUUAAUAGGGACAGUUGGGGGCAUUCGUAUUUAACUGUCAGAGGUGAAAUUCUUAGAUUUGUUAAAGACGAACUACUGCGAAAGCAUUUGCCAAAGAUGUUUUCAUUAAUCAAGAACGAAAGUUAGGGGCUCGAAGACGAUCAGAUACCGUCGUAGUCUUAACCAUAAACUAUGCCGACUA
rnacentral:rRNA from 1 species